CUCUGAUAAACGCAUGCGCUUUAUACGAGCGUUGUGUGUAUGAACGCCAUGAUGUCGAAUAAGGAACAAUUUUAUGAGAGUCAGCCAUCUACCCUUUACGUUGGGAACCUUGACCCGUCAGUUACAGAGGAGUUGAUAUUAGCGCUCUUUGGACAAAUUGGACCAGUGAAAGGCUGUAAGAUAAUAUAUGAG